UACGUAGGGUGCAAGCGUUAAUCGGAAUACUGGCGUAAAGCGUGCGCAGGCGGUUAUGUAAGACAGGUGUGAAAUCCCCGGGCUUAACCUGGAACUGGCAUUGUGACUGCAUAGCUAGAGUACGGUAGAGGGGAUGGAAUUCCGCGUGUAGCAGUGAAAUGCGUAGAUAUGCGGAGGAACACCGAUGGCGAAGGCAAUCCCCUGGACCUGUACUGACGCUCAUGCACGAAAGCGUGGGGAGCAAACGAG
rnacentral:rRNA from 1 species